GACGAACGCUGGCGGCGUGCUUAACACAUGCAAGUCGAACGGAAAGGCCCUGCUUUUGUGGGGUGCUCGAGUGGCGAACGGGUGAGUAACACGUGAGUAACCUGCCCUUGACUUUGGGAUAACUUCAGGAAACUGGGGCUAAUACCGGAUAGGAGCUCCUGCUGCAUGGUGGGGGUUGGAAAGUUUCGGCGGUUGGGGAUGGACUCGCGGCUUAUCAGCUUGUUGGUGGGGUAGUGGCUUACCAAGGCUUUGACGGGUAGCCGGCCUGGGAGGGUGACCGGCCACAUUGGGACUGAGAUACGGCCCAGACUCCUACGGGACGCAGCAGUGGGGAAUAUUGCACAAUGGGCGAAAGCCUGAUGCAGCAACGCCGCGUGCGGGAUGACGGCCUUCGGGUUGUAAACCGCUUUCGCCUGUGACGAAGCGUGAGUGACGGUAAUGGGUAAAGAAGCACCGGCUAACUACGUA
rnacentral:rRNA from 1 species